rnacentral:rRNA from 1 species
GAUCUUAUGGCUCAGAUUGAACGCUGGCGGCAGGCUUAACACAUGCAAGUCGAACGGUAACAUAAAGGAGCUUGCUUCUUUGAUGACGAGUGGCGGACGGGUGAGUAAUGCUUGGGAAUCUAGCUUAUGGAGGGGGAUAACUACGGGAAACUGUAGCUAAUACCGCGUAGAAUCGAGAGAUGAAAGUGUGGGACCUUCGGGCCACAUGCCAUAGGAUGAGCCCAAGUGGGAUUAGGUAG